rnacentral:rRNA from 1 species
GAAUUUUGAGAUCUCAUUAAAAACUUAUGUUAACUUCUUAUUAUUAAGUAUAUGAAGUAUUCGGGGAAUCGUGAAGAUUUUACUGGUGAGAAAUUAAUCUAGGAAUGGUAAUGAUGAAUGUUGAAUUAUCAGACAUAGAAUGCUAAGGUUGUAUGUCAAAAGGGAAACAGCCCAGAACAAGUGUUAUAAUAAGGUUCCAAAAUUAUUAUUAAGUGAAAUCAAGGAAGUCUUUUGAUUUUAAUUCGAUCAGGAAAUAGGCUUAGAAGCAGCCAUUUUUUUUGAAGACCUCGUAAUAGAGCACUGGUUAACAAUGUAAAAAGGCAUUGAAAAUUUAACGGAUCUAAAAUAAUAUACCGAAACCUUGUCUAUAGUUAUAAAUAUUUAUAUUGUAUAACUAUGGGGUAGCGGAACGUAGGGGAUAUAAAAGAAUUUUUUCUUUUUAAGAAAAAAUAAUAUAACUCUAGUGAUAAUGCUGACAUGAGUAACGAUAAAGGCCAAUCUAUAGGUUGACCUCGCCUUAAGCUUAUGGUAUAGAUAAAAGUAACGGCCUCUAAGUUUAUUGACCUAAAGGACUAAACGAUGAGAAAACCUUGUUUAUAAAGUAAUAACCUUUAAAUUUUUAAACAUUCUGGGUCGCGCGCCCUCUUUAGUAGAGCGCGCCUCCAAUAUCUGAUGUAAAUAAUAAGUGAUGAAGAGUUCAGGAAAAACGAUAAACACUUAACCCGUACCUAAAUACCAGCUCAGGUAAGCAAGUAGAGAAUACGAAGGCGUUUGAGU